rnacentral:rRNA from 1 species
UACAGAGGUCUCAAGCGUUGUUCGGAUUCAUUGGGCGUAAAGGGUGCGUAGGUGGCUUCGUAAGUCGGGUGUGAAAUUUCGGAGCUUAACUCCGAAACUGCAUUCGAUACUGCGGUGCUUGAGGACUGGAGAGGAGACUGGAAUUUACGGUGUAGCAGUGAAAUGCGUAGAGAUCGUAAGGAAGACCAGUGGCGAAGGCGGGUCUCUGGACAGUUCCUGACACUGAGGCACGAAGGCCAGGGGAGCAAACGGG